rnacentral:rRNA from 1 species
GGGGUUUGGUUGAAAGCUUUUGUGGUUUUGGAUGGACUCGCGGCCUAUCAGCUUGUUGGUGAGGUAAUGGCUCACCAAGGCGACGACGGGUAGCCGGCCUGAGAGGGUGACCGGCCACACUGGGACUGAGACACGGCCCAGACUCCUACGGGAGGCAGCAGUGGGGAAUAUUGCACAAUGGGCGAAAGCCUGAUGCAGCGACGCCGCGUGAGGGAUGACGGCCUUCGGGUUGUAAACCUCUUUCAGUAGKGAACAAGGCUACACGUUGUGUGGUUGAGGGUACCUGCAGAAGAAGCGCCGGCUAACUACGUGCCAGCAGCCGCGGUAAUACGUAGGGCGCAAGCGUUAUCCGGAAUUAUUGGGCGUAAAGAGCUCGUAGGCGGUUUGUCGCGUCUGCCGUGAAAGUCCGGGGCUCAACCCCGGAUCUGCGGUGGGUACGGGCAGACUAGAGUGAUGUAGGGGAGACUGGAAUUCCUGGUGUAGCGGUGAAAUGCGCAGAUAUCAGGAGGAACACCGAUGGCGAAGGCAGGUCUCUGGGCAUUAACUGACGCUGAGGAGCGAAAGCAUGGGGAGCGAACAGGAUUAGAUACCCUGGUAGUCCAUGCCGUAAACGUUGGGCACUAGGUGUGGGGGACAUUCCACGUU